rnacentral:lncRNA from 1 species
UGAACGCCUCGAAGAUCCUCUUGAAGAAGACGAAGUUGGGGUCGUAGAUCUCGGGCUCCUCGGUCACGUACUCGAUCUCCACGGGGGGGGUGGUUCCGGUCCCGGUUCCGGUUCCGGUUCCGGUUCCGGUUCCGGCCCGCUCCUGCUCCCGCUCCCGGUCCCGGUCCCCGUCGGCCGCUGCCCCCGGCGCUGCCCCCCCGUCCCGCGCCGCCCGCGCCCGCUUCUUCUUCUUGCGGUUACGGCGCUUACGCGUGCGCUGCGGGGACAGCGGCGCUGCUGGGGCACGGCUGUGGGGCACGGCUGUGGGGCACAGCUGUGGGGCACGGCUGUGGGGCACGGCUAUGGGGCACGGCUAUGGGGUGCUGCUGGGGGCAAGGCUAUGGGGCAAGGCCAUGGGCAUAGCUAUGGGGCACCGCUAUGGGGCAAGGCCAUAGGCACGGCUAUGGGGCACAGCUAUGGGGCACGGCUAUGGGGCGCUGCUGGGGGCAAGGCUAUGGGGCACGGCUAUGGGGUGCUGCUGGGGGCAAGGCUAUGGGGCACGGCUAUGGGGCACGGCUAUGGGGCACGGCCACGGGGCAUGGCCAUGGGGCACGGCUAUGGGGUGCUGCUGGGGGCAAAGUUAUGGGACACUGCUAUGGGGCAAGGCUAUGGGGCACUGCUAUGGGGCACGGCUAUGGGGCACUGCAGUGGGGCAAGGCUAUGGGGCAAGGUAA